GUGUAAAAUGACACAGAGCACUGUGACUGGAUGGCUUGAAAUCCAUCCAAGUACUGCAAAGUGCCCCGAGAAAAUCUGGAAUCAAUUAUGGAAGAGACCUCAUACUCCUCCUGUCCAGAAACAACCAAGGGAGGAGGAGGGACAUUUAUUCCAAACAAGAGGUUUGAGUAAGGAGACAUGAAAGGGGUUCGGAAACUUCAAGGAGGCCAGAAGGGCCAAGGUGUUCAAAAC